AUGAACGCUGGCGGCGUGCUUAACACAUGCAAGUCGAACGAAGCACUGUUGAUAGAUUCUUCGGAUGAUAGAUACAGUGACUGAGUGGCGGACGGGUGAGUAACGCGUGGGUAACCUGCCUCAUACAGGGGGAUAACAGUUAGAAAUGACUGCUAAUACCGCAUAAGCGCACAGGACCGCAUGGUCUGGUGUGAAAAACUCCGGUGGUAUGGGAUGGGCCCGCGUCUGAUUAGCUAGUUGGUGAGGGAGAGGCUCACCAAGGCGACGAUCAGUAGCCGACCUGAGAGGGUGACCGGCCACAUUGGGACUGAGACACGGGCCCAAACUCCUACGGGAGGCAGCAGUGGGGAAUAUUGCACAAUGGGCGAAAGCCUGAUGCAGCGACGCCGCGUGAGUGAGGAAGUAUUUCGGUAUGUAAAGCUCUAUCAGCAGGGAAGAAAAAAGACGGUACCUGACUAAGAAGCACCGGCUAAAUACGUG
rnacentral:rRNA from 1 species